ACACUCCCUAGCAACCCCAUCCACGGAUGAAGGGAUCAUCUGCAUUUUCGUUGACACUGCACAAAACGUGUAUCUAACUACCCGACCUUGAAAAUGCACCAUGCCAUCCGGACGUAAUGCAGAAUUCGUCAUUGCAAUGUAUGGCUUUCGUUGCAUUGUCGAAUAACACGUUGCGCGAAUCCAUCUGAAUUGUUUGAGCAUACUCACUUGAGCUGAACUAGUUAAAAUCGCUCAAUUGGACAGGGCGAAGUCUGCACAGCAACAAGAGCCACGAUUGCGUUGCACACUUCCUAAGCAUCUAGUGCGUUUGUAGUCCAAUUGCUGAUGCGUUCUGCCUGCAAAAUCUGCCACAACCGUAGCAAUGCCUUGACAACCGGACCUAGGCAUAGGGCGAAACUCAAACAUUUUGACAACUCGGCGGUGGCGUUUCUGUUUUUGACUCACAUCAAUACCUCGAAGUUGGAAGGUCUUUGGAUAUCAGUGCACGAGAAUUCCCACGUGGGCAAUUAAAAAUGAAGUACUGGUGCACUCAGACGUCUUCAUCAUCAGGAUACCAUGGAGCUGUUGGAGGAGGACCUCACAUGCCCGAUAUGCUGCUGUCUCUUUGAGGACCCGCGCGUUCUGCCUUGCUCCCACAGCUUUUGCAAGAAGUGUCUCGAGGGCAUUCUGGACGGCAACCGAAGCAUCGCAUGGAGACCUCCGUUCAAAUGCCCGACCUGUCGAAAGGAGACCGUGCACAACGGCAUCGCAAGCUUGCAAGUCAAUUACUCCUUACGCGGCAUCGUGGAGAAGUACAACAGGAUUCGGGUGCUGCCGAGGAUGUCUCUCUGUCGAGCUCACAGUGGGCAACCGCUCAACAUUUUCUGUGCCACGGAUCUAAAACUUAUCUGUGGUUUUUGCGCCACAACAGGUGAUCAUAAAGGACACAAGUUUUGCGCGCUAGAGGAGGCUUACGAAAGAGAGAAGGUAGCGUUUGAGGAGUUGUUUCGUGUCGUGGAGGGAUGGAGAAGUGCGGAGGUGCAUUCGUGCUUGGAAUCGUUGGAGGGAGCGAAGAAAAAAGCGCUGGAGAGGGUCUCAAGGGACGCAGAUGGGGUCUCUCAAUACUUUGACAAACUCUUGCGCACACUGGAGCACAAACGGAGUGAAAUCCUCUCUGACUUCGAGACUCUGAAGCUCGCGGUCAUGCAGACAUUUGACCCCGAGAUAAACCGACUGCGCUCGGCGCUCGAGGAACAACGGCGCGCUCUCGCCAUCGCCGAAUCCUUCCGGUCACUGUCUGAUCCUCUUACUUUUCUACAGCAGAUGCAAGCCUUCAGAGAAAAACUGCGCGUGAUUCGAGCAACACCACUGCCGUCUCGAACUGACUUGGAAGUGGGUUUGCAUAACCUGCAGAGCUUCGAUGUCAAGGAAUGGGAUCGAGUGCGCCUUGGAGAGGUGGACAAGCUGUGCGCCCCGUACGAAAGCGGCUCAUACUUGGCUUCGUUGCCCCCUGCCCCCGUUCCUCGCUAUUCCCGUGUACUGUGGAGAGUUGUUCUGGUUGUAUGCGCGUGUCUGCCUGCGCUGAACUUUCUCCCUUCAGACUGUCUUGCUCUGAGCUUAAACGAUAAGGUGGUCGCACUCUCUGGCUUUACUCUGCCGGGUCCAGGGGAGAUUGUGCGCUGGUUCGGGUUCUGUUGGAAAGAAGGAGCCGCAAUCUGCACACUUCUCAUUGAGCUGUGUCGGAACUGUAUCUUGGACCUUAUAAACACGACAUCCGAUUUCAUCAGCUGAUUUUAUAACUUCCUUCAUUAGAAUUAAGAGCAUGAGGGUCUCCAUCUGUGCGCUGCAAAUUUUGAGUGCUGGAAGAUAUGAAGGACAUGAGGCACUCCAGGACUCCAUCUGAAACAGAAGAGAACAGGACGCUUGAGCAAGAACAUACACACUGCAGCUGGAUGUGAUGCUAUCCAUCAGCACCUUUUCUUCACUAUAUGGAAACCUGGCCUCUAGUUGCUCAUCCGAACACAGUGCUUUCAAAGGAAACAAGCAACUAACUGUUCUAGAAAAACUGUAUUUAACCUUCAAGAUUCUGUCCGAUCAACACUGGCAACAUCCAAAUCAUCUUCAACAGCAGGCACCUGCCAACAACUUUCCCUUUAACAGAGAUUUCCCACGCUUACAUUAUGCUUAAUAUAUAUGGUGUUCCAUUUAAUAUGUGUGUUGUUUUAUAUGAAUCAAUUCUUUGCUGUUUCAAGUAAAUUAAAUUGAAAUGUAUAAAAGUUAUUAUACCUAUGGGUUAAGUUAAGUUUACCUAUUGGAGAAUUUUGGUUCUGAACAUUCCAGUAACUUUAACGUCUUAAAUGAGUGCUGUGAAUGACCACAACAUUAUAAAACCAACAACCUAAAACAAUGGGUAUUUGAUUUGUUUAAUGUAAUAGUUAUCUGUUGUCAUACAUUAAUAAAGACAGUGUUUACGCUUUUUACCCAAAUUACAAAAAAAAUAUUAUUUUUGUUAUUGGGAUUUUAGGGUGCACUCUGACACCAAGGUUACAACCUGACUAACAUAAUUAUUGAAUUUGGGUCAAUGAUGCAACAUGGUUUCACAGCCAAGAAACAGGACAAUGUACAUUACUGAUAUGUUGUUUAGCUCCUGAUGAAAUCAUUGCUGCGGGAUACAUUGUUUCUCAUAAAAAGUAACAUAAAAGACUUUGACAGGAAAUGAGAGAAACAGAAUCUUUCCAAAGUUUUCCAGCACUGACUUUGGCCCCCAAAUAAAACAUAAUGCCUAUAAUUGUGAUUACAGAGAUGGACAUUACGACUAUGAAGACUUUUUCACAAGAUACAGUAAGGAACCUAUGGCCUGCAUUUGACAAACAACCAACUUUGUUAUUCUCUAACAAGAUCAAGCAUCUGAGAACUACAGAAUAUACAAAACCUACUGUUAUAACCUAGUUAAAACAAAACAAUCUAUUUACACUUUCACCUAAGCCAAUCUUUCGAUAUCUGAAGAUUAGAGUGAUUCGCUGGUCUGGACAUAAACACAAAAUUUAGUAUUCUUAAAAGACAAAAACAGGAUUACAAAUGUGCUUAAUAAAUGAUCCAUGAUAAUUUUGUUCUUUUGAGGUGUCAAUCUAAGACAGACAACCUAAUGCUUAAAGUUUUUAAUUAUAAUGUUAUAAGUUUUAAUACCACCACAACAGCUUUUUUUAAGUUCUGAAAGUGUAAUUUUCUGAAACCUAACUUCCUUGUGU